rnacentral:rRNA from 1 species
GACGAAGGGGGCUAGCGUUGUUCGGAAUUACUGGGCGUAAAGCGCGUGUAGGUGGUUCGUUAAGUCUGAUGUGAAAGCCCUGGGCUCAACCUGGGAAUGGCAUUGGAUACUGGCGACCUAGAGUGCGGUAGAGGGGUGUGGAAUUCCCGGUGUAGCAGUGAAAUGCGUAGAUAUCGGGAGGAACAUCUGUGGCGAAGGCGACACCCUGGACCAGCACUGACACUGAGGCACGAAAGCGUGGGGAGCAAACAGG